rnacentral:rRNA from 1 species
UGGUGAGAUAACGGCUCACCAAGGCAACGAUGGGUAGCCGGCCUGAGAGGGUGAACGGCCGCACUGGAACUGAGACACGGUCCAGACUCCUACGGGAGGCAGCAGUGGGGAAUAUUGCACAAUGGAGGAAACUCUGAUGCAGCGACGUCGCGUGAACGAUGAAGGCUUUCGGGUCGUAAAGUUCUGUCCUUGGGGACGAUAAUGACGGUACCUAAGGAGGAAGCCCCGGCUAACUACGUGCCAGCAGCCGCGGUAAUACGUAGGGGGCGAGCGUUGUCCGGAUUUAUUGGGCGUAAAGGGUACGCAGGCGGCCAUGUAAGUCAGAUGUGAAAGACCACAGCUCAACUGUGGUAAGCAUUUGAAACUGUGUGGCUUGAGUUAAGGAGAGGAAAGUGGAAUUCCUAGUGUAGCGGUGAAAUGCGUAGAUAUUAGGAAGAAUAUCAGUGGCGAAGGCGACUUUCUGGACUUAUACUGACGCUGAGGUACGAAAGCGUGGGGAGCAAACAGGAUUAGAUACCCUGGUAGUCCACGCUGUAAACGAUGAGUGCUAGGUGUCGGGGGUCAAACCUCGGUGCCGCCGUUAA